ensembl:misc_RNA Y_RNA Y RNA
GGCUGGUCUGAGUGCAGUGGUGUUUAUAACUAACUGAUCACAACCAAUUACAGAUUUCUUUGUACUUUCUCCAUUCUCAUUGCUUCACUUGACUAGCCUAAA